rnacentral:lncRNA from 10 species
GAAUAUUCUUCAUGUAAUGCAGUAUCACUUCUGUAUGAAGCCACGUGUAACUUGUCCCCCUCCUUUCCAUCAUGAGAACUACUGAAGAUGUAAACCAAAUCCAGCAGGGAAACCAGUGACAUUUGUGAAUAGUAGACGGGAUAAAAGGAGCUGGACACACUCUUUCUUCAACAUCUGCCAUGAUAUGAUUUCACAAGCAAGAAAUGUGCCAAGGCUUCUACCCAAGAAUAUAACGUACAUGGACACGUCAUGGGGGCUCCCCUGCCCUCAAGCUCCCAUGGGGGUUCAGCCAAUGAAGACAAGAAGAAAGAGAGAUUGAGGUCAUCCAGUGAUACUGAUGAAAUAUUCCACCGGAGGGAGAAUCAUGAAAUAUUCCACCGGAGGGAGAAUCAAAUCCCUGUCUAGCCUCCUUGCCCGCAGGAAGUUGACAGAAGAGGGAUUGACCUGAAGGAUCAAGGGGUGGAGGGACUGAACCUCAAUCAGAUGGAGUGAAUGCUUCAGGUCACACAGCGAAAGAGUCCUGGAUGAAAACCCAGUGCUACCAGAAGGCAGUCUCUUCUCUCCACCACACUGUACCUCCCACAGCCCUCUUUUAGAGCAAGGCCAUUUCAGGGAAGCCUUGCCAUACCCGAUCUCCACAGGCAGCUCUCACCAACUGUGCUUCAAGUGCAUGGUCAUUCCAGAGCCUGGACGGAACGGGCACUCCUGGUGCUAUGGCCUCACUGCCUACAAAGCUAAGUGCACAGGUAGGGGGACAGGGUGCUUCCUUUGCUCCUGUGGUGAUCUGGAGACACAGAUCAACCCAGUGUGAAUGGAACCAGGCAGAGCUGCCCACCAAAAUAAAAGUGUGGCCAAAACCCAGCCCUGCUUGUGGGUGAACAAAAAACAUGCCCUCCAGCCACAACUGCAUUCACAGAGCUUCCGGGGAUGGCUCUUACCUGGGGCUGCUCCGUAUGGAAACAUAAUCCAUAGCUUGGCUCCCACAAAUAUGCUUAUCCCACGUGCUACAUAUGGAAGGAGAAAUCAGCUUGUAUUUCAUUAAACAGUUUGGCUCAGGUCUUGUGAGCAAAUAUUAGAAUCUGCACUUGGUACAGAGUCGUAAAUGCAUUGUUAGCAAAUCAGAUGGCCGAUAAAAAAUACAUAAAUCAAUCAAGCAUUCCUACUGCUAAAUGUUUACAAAUAAGCAAAACAACGAUCCCCUUGUUAAAAGUCUCUUCUGCUCUAUGAUUUAUUAAAGUUCUGAAUUCCAUGUUGGGGGCCCAGGGAGUUGAAGGGUGUGGAAGUGGGCUGGCCGGUCUAAGCCGUCCGUGAUCCAUUCCAGGGCAUUUGCCAGGGCACAGCUGGGCUUCCCCCACCCAGGGACAGUGAGAG